rnacentral:rRNA from 1 species
UACGUAUGGUGCAAGCGUUAUCCGGAUUUAUUGGGCGUAAAGGGCUCGUAGGCGGUUCGUCGCGUCCGGUGUGAAAGUCCAUCGCUUAACGGUGGAUCCGCGCCGGGUACGGGCGGGCUUGAGUGCGGUAGGGGAGACUGGAAUUCCCGGUGUAACGGUGGAAUGUGUAGAUAUCGGGAAGAACACCAAUGGCGAAGGCAGGUCUCUGGGCCGUUACUGACGCUGAGGAGCGAAAGCGUGGGGAGCGAACAGG